rnacentral:rRNA from 1 species
GAUGAACGCUGGCGGCGUGCCUAAUACAUGCAAGUAGAACGCUGAAGGAGGAGCUUGCUCUUCUGGAUGAGUUGCGAACGGGUGAGUAACGCGUAGGUAACCUGCCUGGUAGCGGGGGAUAACUAUUGGAAACUAUAGCUAAUACCGCAUGACAACAGUUAUUGCAUGAUAACUGUUUAAAAGGGGCAACUGCUCCACUACCAGAUGGACCUGCGUUGUAUUAGCUAGUUGGUGAGGUAACGGCUCACCAAGGCGACGAUACAUAGCCGACCUGAGAGGGUGAUCGGCCACACUGGGAGUGAGACACGGCCCAGAGUGCUACGGGAGGGAGCAGUAGGGAAACGUGGGCAAGGGACGGAAGACUGACCGAGCAACGCGGCGGGAGUGAAGAAGGUUGUCGGAUCGGAAAGCUCUGUUGUAAGAGAAGAAAGAGUGUGAGAGUGGAAAGUUCACAAUGUGACGGUAUCUGAACAGAAAGGGACGGCUAACUACGUG